CAGCCGCCACGGUAAUACGGAGGGUCCGAGCGUUAAUCGGAAUUACUGGGCGUAAAGCGUGCGCAGGCGGUUUGUUAAGCGAGAUGUGAAAGGCCUGGGCUCAACCUAGGAAUAGCAUUUCGAACUGGCGAACUAGAGUCUUGUAGAGGGGGGUAGAAUUCCAGGUGUAGCGGUGAAAUGCGUAGAGAUCUGGAGGAAUACCGGUGGCGAAGGCGGCCCCCUGGACAAAGACUGACGCUCAUGCACGAAAGCGUGGGGAGCAAACAGGAUUAGAUACCCCGGUAGUCCCUGUCUCUUAUAC
rnacentral:rRNA from 1 species